UUUAUCUGCUACUAACAAGGUCUGCUUUUGGAAAUCAUUUGAGACAUAAAAAAGAUGUCUGAAGAGGGACAGAGGUGUGUUCAAUCCAGACAUGCGAUUCCUGAUUUUCUUGCCCAGGUCCUUGAACAAGAGCCGGAAGAGGGUACUGGAGCCCCUGGAACUGGAGCUGUGCAUGGCUGUGAGGCACAUCUGCCGAGCACUGACUCGGGUCCUCCGCAAGAAAGCAAGUUCUCAAGGAGCACCUCUGAGUUCAAGGACAGCCUGAUCAAGCUAACAAAUUAUAACACAGAACUAGCCUUUUCUGAGGCUGGCCCACUGACAUUUAGACCUAUAUAAUCUUUGUUAGUAGAAGCUUUCCUGGCCAUCCCUCUCACAUCUUACCAUAACAAGAUUAGUGAUUCUGUUAAAAUAAAAAAAAGAUCCCUGACUUCCACCCACUAGAUGCCAGAAACUCCCAAUUUGUAAAGACAGUGGACAAUACCGCCCCAGCACAGAACACCUGACUCGAGGAACCACGUUAAACACAGACACUGUUUAACACAGAACAUGUUACAGAGAGGACACUGGAGUGGACUGGAAGAAAGACACAGGAAAUGAAACUGCCUUCCGAUACAACAGACUCUUAACAGCACUGUUUUUAGAUAUCUGCAUUAACACUAAAACCGGCCUGAGUCACAAAAGAUGGCAUCCAAAGAACUCAGGGAAAAACUCUCCUGGUGGUGAAGGUUUGCUUGGGCAGGAUCCGAGCCGUCUUCCUGGAGACUAUGAGCUAGAACAAAAGCUGUCGUGACUCAGAAGCUCGGAGAGCAGGAAGGCCUGGGCAGCGGGUCUCUCCCACCCUGGGACACACAUGACUCAUAGCUACUGCCUCACUGUGGACUCAGGUCUGGGAUGUGAGCACUUUCUGGAUGAACAAGAGGCAAGCCGACGGGGUGAGCAGGUUUGUGGCCCUUCCCUGUUGCCUUUGCCCCGGAGGCUGAGGUGAGGCAGGAACCGGUUCCUCUGAGCCCUAGGAAACUCCCAGCACUCCCUGGUGCCCAUCGGGGCUGCCACAGAAGAGAGGGUCUGACAACACUCGCAUCCCACACCGAGUCGGCAAAGGCAGGGGUCUGAGGGAGAGUCCUCCACGGUGAACCACGGCCCGCUAAAAUGGCCUCCACAGCCCCUGCCACCCCCAGACUGAGGAAGUCUUCAAAGUAAAAGAUAUGUCAAGGCAUUACUGGCCUUUUCACUUUGUGCAAGCCUAGUUGAAACAUCACUAUAUUUGUUACAGCUCAAGGGAAAUACAUGUACAAACGAGUGAGUUGCUGAAUCACACACAUGGACAAAACCAGUGAGGAGCUGAAUCACACACAUGGACAAAUGAGUGAGGAGCUGAAUCAGCUGCUUUUCUUCAACCCCAUUUGAAAGAAUGAGGAAGUGCAUAUCUGACAGCUAUUUUCUAAAAAUUAAAAAAGGAGGGGGUACCCCUCAGAGUCAAUGAACUAAAAGUGAUUUCAAGCAAAAAUCACAUUUUGAAAAGCUGAGCUUGACAAACUCCUAGUAUCUGGGGAACACGGGGUACACAGGUGUUACAUGUGAGUAUACAGACCGGAGAUCAAGCUUGAGCCAACACCCACCUUGUCUGUUGAUGUGGGUCUCUCACCAGAAGCUAAGUGGUGGCCAAAGAGUAACACUGGCUGCUCAGAGAGCUUCGGGCCUGCCAACCUGAUUCCGCGUGUGCCAUGCCAGGCCUGCCAGAGUCUGGAGACAGAGCCCAUUCAUCACGCAGCAAAUCCUUCGCUGACACCCACUUCCAGUCCCCAGGGAUUUCCAUACCGUUUACUGAAACAUUCUAGAUUGGGAGGAUAUGUAGAAUUCAAUAAAUUCCGUAUUUCCAAAAGACUCUAAA